GACAGAGGGGGCAAGCGUUGCUCGGAAUUACUGGGCGUAAAGGGUUCGUAGGCGGUGUGGCAAGUCGGGAGUGAAAUCUCCAGGCUCAACUUGGAGGCUGCUUCCGAAACUGCCGCGCUAGAGUGCGAGAGAGGCCAGUGGAAUUGCAGGUGUAGCGGUGAAAUGCGUAGAUAUCUGCAGGAACACCCGUGGCGAAGGCGGCUGGCUGGAUCGCAACUGACGCUGAGGAACGAAAGCUAGGGGAGCAAACAGG
rnacentral:rRNA from 1 species